ACAUGGAUGCCAGUCUUCCCGAGGUUGAAGUAGCAAGCACACAAAAAGUCUUGGUUGAAUUCGACUUUGGGGC
rnacentral:miRNA from 1 species